GGGGGCUGUGCUCGAGUUGGAGCUGUUGGGCGACGCAUGGGAGCGGAGCUCGCUGUGCAGUCCCAGUGACGCGUUAUUCCACACGUUUGCGGCAUCACCGAGAUCAGACUCCAUUCUGGCAAGCCCGUAUCUCCAUACCAAAACCUGACGUUUAUACAUGAGCUCUCACCCAAUGACGCACUGGAGCUACACAGGGACCGCCUUCCUCAUUUCCAUAUUGAACAUGAAAAGGUUUGGUCCUCCAUAUUAAGGGGUUUCCUGUGGGUACUCAGGUUUCCUCCCACAGUCCAAAGACAGUUGUACACUGAGUUUCCUGGGACAGACUCCAGACUCCCCUGCAACCCUGUGUGGAGUAAGCAGUACAGAAAAGGAUAUAUAUAUAUUUCCAUAAAGAAAACUACCCUGAAAAACAAAACAAGAACUAAAAAAUGAUCUGUUCUGAAAAUGUUUCUGGAACUGAAAACAUGAUGCUUUUAGUAACAAAAAUCUGUUGUACAUGUCGUUAGUCUUACAUAUUUUGCAUGGCAGCACCCUCCCAGAAAAAAGAGCACUAAACAUGACCAUUCCUUUUCAUUGGGCUGGUACCCUGUAACUUUAAUAUAUUUCACCUAUAAAUAUGUGCUUUUUAAAAAAGGCCCGUAAUCUCCUUUUAGCGCAACUCUAUGAACAUACACUACAUGUACUUUUCAAGGUAAAGUAUACUAACAAUACAAAAAGUGCACCUUUGAGUGUACCACCCCAUUGACAAAGAAUGGUUCAUUGCAGUACCCUUUAUUUAUGAGUGCAGCAGUAGUUUCAGCAGGUUUUUUUCCCCAGCUUGGACACCAAUGUAGUAUUGCCCUGGGGGGAGGGGUUUUUUAAAUGUCACAAGCCAGUCUACUUGUGUGUCAUAGUACAUUUAAUUGUAACCCAAUACAGAGGCAAACACGUGAAAUGCGUCUGUCAGCACCACUAUUCUUAGAGCCUUUCCUCAGUUUAUCUUAUGGACACGCGAACAAUACCACAGAUACCUGGGUUACUAUGGACUUCAUGCAUGUCAUGCACAAAAUCAGAUUUGGAGAAUAUGCAGAACAAUAAAAGCACUGGGAAACUGGUAAUUGGGUUUUUAUGAUGUUACAAUCAUAUUGGAUCUCAUACAUUUAUGCUCAUUCCAAUUAAAUGGUUUCUUUGUCUGUCUGGUCACAUGCAAGCACAAGAUUGUACAGUAUACUGCAUGAACUCAGAAAAUUGUAUGCUGUUUCAGAAACAUGCUCAGGGGCCAGGUUAAAAGGAGUGCAAAUCAAAUCAUCUGUAAUUUUUUUAAGAUAACACAAUCUUGCAAUAAGCACCAGGCAAAAAUCCCCCCAAAAAACAAAACUAAAAAAACAACUCAUUGAAAUGAUUCUAAGUAUUUGUAACUGUGAAGCCUGGAAACAUCAUCGCACUUCAGUCAGCGUUAAUCUGCUCACAAUGUUGCAACAAAAUGUUAAUAACUAGCAACAUACCUAUAAUUGUGAUGCAGUAAUGUAACAGAUGAGUGCUUUAAUGUAAUAUAUUUUGAGAGUGUGAUGUAAAUUUGAAAGUUCCAUUGUGCUAAAUUUAGACCAGACUGUUCUGUUUAUUAAUAGAUUUUAACUAAGUCUCUAGAACCAUAACUCAUGCUGCGGAGAGCAAUGUGAGACAUCAGGGCAUGUGAUCAGAGAGGGGAAAGUUAUAGCUGUUGGGGCUGCACCGGACGGCUGGCAGCUUAAGAGCCAGGAAUGGUGCAUUUUGACAUAACAGAUGGUUGAUGAUCUCAGGAGGAAGAUGAUUUAGUGCUGUUUUGGAUUACAUUUCACACGCGCACUGCAUGUGAACGUACACAUACACAUGCCUGGACCAUGUGUUCAGUUACAUGUAUGUAUAAACAUACACCUGAACACCUACACACACAGUAUUCAGAAUACCCUUGAAAAGAGUCCAGUAUAAUAUCCAACCAACACCUUAAGUAAGUUGAAGUGUUUAGAUUUUAUAGCCCUUGCAGUCAUGG